rnacentral:rRNA from 1 species
AGUAGUUUGAUCAGUGGCUACGAGGACGAACGCUGGCGGCGUGCUUAACACAUGCAAGUCGAACGGUAAGGCCCUUCGGGGUACACGAGUGGCGAACGGGUGAGUAACACGUGGGUGAUCUGCCCUGCACUUCGGGAUAAGCCUGGGAAACUGGGUCUAAUACCGGAUAGGACCAUGGACUUCACGGUUUGUGGUGGAAAGCUUUUGCGGUGUGGGAUGGGCCCGCGGCCUAUCAGCUUGUUGGUGGGGUAAUGGCCUACCAAGGCGACGACGGGUAGCCGGCCUGAGAGGGUGUCCGGCCACACUGGGACUGAGAUACGGCCCAGACUCCUACGGGAGGCAGCAGUGGGGAAUAUUGCACAAUGGGCGCAAGCCUGAUGCAGCGACGCCGCGUGAGGGAUGACGGCCUUCGGGUUGUAAACCUCUUUCAAUAGGGACGAAGCGCAAGUGACGGUACCUAUAGAAGAAGCACCGGCCAACUACGUG